AGAGUUUGAUCCUGGCUCAGGAUAAACGCUGGCGGCGUGCCUAACACAUGCAAGUCGAACGUCCUCUGGCUUCGGCUAGAGGGAGUGGCGGACGGGUGAGUAAUACGUGGGUUAUCUACCUUGUGGUGAGGAAUACCGGCGAGAAAUCGCCGACAAGACCGCAUACGCUUCGCAAGAAGCAAAGUCCCGUCAGGGAUGCCACAAGAUGAGCCUGCGGCCGAUUAGCUGGUUGGUGGGGUAAGAGCCUACCAAGGCGACGAUCGGUAGCUGGUCUGAGAGGAUGAUCAGCCACACUGGGAUUGAGAACGGCCCAGACUCCUACGGGGGGCAGCAGUGAGGAAUUUCGGCAUGGACGUAAGUCUGACCGAGCAACGCCGCGUGCAG
rnacentral:rRNA from 1 species